rnacentral:lncRNA from 1 species
GGAAUACGGAAGACUUUCCAUUUGUACUUUAGCUACCUCUACGAUGUUGGUGUGCUGGGCGUAGACAUGAAGGGCGCUAGGAUAAGCAUCCAGAUACGCUCCUUCGCUUCCUCUGGUGAGCCAGCCCAGCUAUAGAGAGGACCCCUUCUUCACCAAGCACACACAGCCUGUGGGAGCAUGGAAUCAAGAGUGGCUGGGAAAGAUCUAGGAAACCAUUUCUUCAAAUGAAGAAAGAGUAAAUAACAUCUGGCCCCAAGAUGACCUUCAAAGUUGAAGAUUAAGACAGAAGUCUCAGAGACAGAUACCGGAAAAUUACUGGAGGCCUCCUUCCCACAAAUAAUUAAAAGCUUCCCAUCACACCCAUAACAAAUACCUGCUAGGAAGUAACUGGAACCACUGUGUACCCCACGUUUCCUCCAAGGAACCUCCCACCCCUGACUCCGUGUGGUCAACCAUAGAACUCAACCCCCACCUGGAGCCUCCCAGAACAUUCCAUCCCUCUGGCCACUACUGAUGUUCUGGAAAAGAUACACAACCCAGCAGGGCCAUCAGAGUUCUCGCAGGGACUUCCUGGACCCUAAGAGGGAGAGGGUUUCUUUCCCUGUUCCCUUUUGGCAUUGAUGUAAGGAGAGUGUUUGUCUGGCUAGGAAUUAAGUAAACACCCCCAGGGAAGUAGAGCCGGAGACGAAGGAAGUGACAAAGCCCUUUCAUCAGCCCUUUCAUCGCUGGAGCCCCUACAUCCUGCCCUCCCGAGUUCACACCCAUUGUCCAUCAUUGGCCCUUCCCAAGUGGCUGGGCAACCAUUUUUAACUUUUGAUAAGUGCUGGGCCCCAGAGCCAGAUGGCGGCUCUUUAAACAAACUCGUUCUUCUCUGUGCCCCUGUGACCUCAGCUAUUAAGCGGGCUGAUGAUCCAUCCUGUUCACCUCAGAAGACUGUUUCAAGGAUGAGAGGUGUCAGCAUUUGAAAGCCAUGGCCGGCACAUAGUGUGCAUCUUAUAAAUGCUGGUGCUCACUAUUAUUAUUCUUUGUUACGGGAUCCUCUACUCUCCCUUCUGACCUUGAACUAGUAUGAAUUAGAUUUCAGUCACUUGCAGCUAAGAAGUCUUGAUUACGAUCAUCAGUUUGACAAGGAAGUUAAAAGUCAGAGGCCCAAAGCCACUCUAUGAGAAAAUCCUUACAAGUAGUUUCUAGAUUGACCCUCUAACCCUUAGCUUUUUCUUCACCCAGUAUAUGCAUUAUCUCUCCAAAGAGAUGAUAAAUUCCAGCAUCUCACUAAUAUUGCUUUGCUCUAACAUCAUUCCCAGCACGGAGCCUA